UGCGUAGGCGGGCUAAUAAGUCAGUGGUGAAAUCCCUCGGCUCAACCGGGAAACUGCCAUUGAUACUGUUAAUCUUGAGUUCGGUUGAGGUAGGCGGAAUGUGUAAUGUAGCGGUGAAAUGCUUAGAUAUUACACAGAACACCAAUUGCGUAGGCAGCUUACUAGACCGACACUGACGCUGAGGCACGAAAGCGUGGGUAGCGAACAGGAUUAGAUACCCUGGUAGUCC
rnacentral:rRNA from 1 species